rnacentral:lncRNA from 1 species
CUCCUCUCCAUCUUCCCUCUCUUCUUCUUCUUCUUCUUUUCUUCUCUUCUCCCUCUUCUUCCUAAUCUCUUCUUUUCCCUCUUCUUCUUCUUUUCUUCUCUUCUCCCUCAACUUCUCUUCUUCUUCUCCCCACGCCCCCACUGCUCCUCUCUCUGUUUCUCGUGGGAGGCGGUGGGAUAAAACCGAAAUUUUCAGUUUUCUUUAUUUUUUUUUCUUUUUGCAACUUAAUAGUUUAGUCCUUGAAAUUUCUAUAUUUACAUAUAGGUCCUCCAAUUUACAUAUAAAUCCUUAUUAAUAAUUU